rnacentral:rRNA from 1 species
CCCUUAGACGUUCUGGGCCGCACGCGCGCUACACUGACCAGUGCAACAAGCAUCCGUCCUUGGCCGACAGGCCCGGGCAAUCUUUGAACGCUGGUCGUGAUGGGGAUAGACUUUUGCAAUUUUUGGUCUUCAACGAGGAAUUCCUAGUAAACGCAAGUCAUCAACUUGCAUUGAUUACGUCCCUGCCCUUUGUACACACCGCCCGACGCACCUACCGAUUGAAUGGUCCGGUGAAGCCUCCGGAUUGGCGCGCACCUCGGUGCCGCCGAGAAGUUGGCUAAACCUUACCAUUUAGAGGAAGGUGAAGUCGUAACA